UGGCUCUCAGGAGAAGCUCAACUUUCUCAGCAUCCCCAGACUCGUCACCAUGGCUCCCAGCUGCCCUGUGCUGGUCCGGUGUCAGAUGCUUUGUGGAGGCAGGGUCACCUGGGGGGACUUCGGGUGCACGUGUCUCUCUGCCCACGGUCCCCCCUGUUCUGCCUGUCCCCAGGAGUGAACCGAGUGUGGCUACCUUGUCGCAGAUACCGGCAGCAUCCUGCCUGCCCGUGACAACCC